rnacentral:lncRNA from 1 species
GAGAGUUUCAGCGAAGCCACAUCCUGGACUUUAGGCCCUUCUGGGCUUGCACUGGCACCGCUCACCUCCUGUCUUUGCUUCUCUCGGGCCUGGAGUCUGGCUUGCGCAGUUGCCCUGGGACUCCAACAAUAGUGGUCCAACCUCGCUGGUCAGCACAGUUACUACAAGGCCAACCCUCGCUUUCAGCUCCUCAGUUCUUCACGGGAGACACCACAACAGGGGGCUUGCGGAAGUUCUCCAGACAAAUGAUCAGCUCGGACCGACAGCGGAGAGGAGGACAGGCCUGAGGCGCACAAAAGCAGCCGCCCUUUCCCAGGUGUGGCUUGCUCUCUGAUGCCACCCCCCACCAUUCCCCGCCCUGCCGUGCACAGUGCCUUGUCC